GAUGAACGCUGGCGGCGUGCCUAAUACAUGCAAGUCGAGCGAACAGACGAGGAGCUUGCUUCUCUGAUGUUAGCGGCGGACGGGUGAGUAACACGUGGAUAACCUACCUAUAAGACUGGGAUAACUUCGGGAAACCGUAGCUAAUACCGGAUAAUAUUUUGAACCGCAUGUUUCAAAAGUGAAAGACGGUUUUGCUGUCACUUAUAGAUGGAUCCGCGCCGCAUUAGCUAGUUGGUAAGGUAACGGCUUACCAAGGCAACGAUGCGUAGCCGACCUGAGAGGGUGAUCGGCCACACUGGAACUGAGACACGGUCCAGACUCCUACGGGAGGCAGCAGUAGGGAAUCUUCCGCAAUGGGCGAAAGCCUGACGGAGCAACGCCGCGUGAGUGAUGAAGGUCUUCGGAUCGUAAAACUCUGUUAUUAGGGAAGAACAAAUGUGUAAGUAACUGUGCACAUCUUGACGGUACCUAAUCAGAAAGCCACGGCUAACUACGUG
rnacentral:rRNA from 1 species